rnacentral:lncRNA from 1 species
CGUGUAUGAAUAAUUCUAUCCUUCACACUUACUUACAUUACACUUUUUCGUAUAUUAUUAUAUAGUGAAAAGUUGUCAGAAUUAACAUGGUCCUACUAGUGAUAAUUAUUGUUUUUUUUUCAUAUUCGGUGCAGUUUCAAAUUAUUAGUAUUAUUUUUCUUAACCUUGGGGUGGCCAAAAAUCUUGAUCUUAUCAAAAGUAGUGGGGUCUUGUAAGAUUAUCUUAGACAGAGACUCUUGAGUCAAAAAGUUGUAGACUUUUUCAGCUUUUAGAUUUUCUAAAUGUUCAAAUAAGCUAGACUACGUGGAUAGGUAACAUAAGUGACUCACUCAUUAGUCUUUAUUGUGGGGUAUUCAAAAUUUAACUAAACUCUAAGAGUCAUGUGUUGUAAACCGGUGUGGUUUACUAAAAAUUGAUUUUUCUUUGAUCAGAUUCUUUGUUGACAACAUACCAAUCCGAACGUUCAAGAAUGCUAAGGAUCUAGG